ensembl:lncRNA
CUUUUUUAUUUUGUACUAUAUAUUGUCUUUAUUGUGGAGCACAGUAGAGAACCAACAGUAAAGGGAGACAGAGGGGGAACUGGACUGGGACAUGACCUAGAAUGAACUCAAACUUACAUGUCAGGUUUAACACAUUACUAUCCAUGCCACAGCUCCGGCCUGGCCAUUUUUCAAGAAAUUCACCUUGAUACAGGUAUGUCAGCAUUUCUUUCAAUUAUACCACGCUAAAUGUUUUACAGACUGCAAUAACAGUAUCGGUGUAAAGUAAAUCUGUGUCUGUGUGAUGACACACAUCCAUCAUAGUUCAAUAUCAGAGAAAUGAGGUUCCCUCUGGUGAAAUAUUCCAACCUGCACUGUUUGAGGAUUUCCAGUGGCAACCUAAAUUACACAGUUUAAUUUUACCGCCUUGUGUCUAUGUAAAGAUAUGAAAGGCCCCCUGGUGCAGUGUGACGUUUAAUUUUAGCUGCGCACAUAAGUGGAGCCACGCAGAGACAUUUGAGACAGACACCGUUUUACUGAGUAUAUAGGUCAUUUAACACGGGACCUAAUGUUCAUGGGGAAACUCCAUCCCUUCAAGGUGCUCUUGAACCCUUAACAUGCUCACAAUGCAGUGUCUGCUGUUUUAUUUAUCAUUUGCAUUCUGGCGUUUUAUGGAUAAAUAAGCUGCAAAAGUGAAUUCUGAGGGAAUGUUCUCAAUCUUGGGAUUUCUUAAGAUGCAUUGAAGACCUCCAGUCACUAGAAAAAAUGCCAACUUUAGAAAAACAACAUCUUCUCUGCUUCAUUGUGGUUUCCAUGGAUACAAUCAAUGGUCUGAGUCGCAGAAUGCAGGAAGAACCAGGUGUUGAGAUCUCAGCAGGUGUGAGGACAAAGCCACCUGAUGCAAAGAGAUUAAAGCAUCUUUUUAGCGGCGCAGAGCGGAGCAACAUUGCACUUCCUCAUACAUCAUGUGUGUCAGCACUCAAAUCUACUGCAUUGAAAAUUGCCCCACAAAUCAGCAAGCAAUAAAGGAAACAGAGCGUUGAAAAAACACAUUUUUACAAUUACGUGCAGCUGUUUGUGGAUCUGUGUAUUGAGCAUAAAACAAUUUAAGUUUGAAUGUCUAAUAGAGAAAAGAAAAAGCAAAUCUACAGUUACUCAAAUUCAGAUGAAUCCAAACCAACACUGAAAGCUGUUUAAAAUAUGUCUGUUAACCUUAGCGCAGGUUAUCCCAUCGCGUGUCUGGCCUGGUAACUAUACAAUGGAUUUUCAUUUGCUGUGUGAUCCAGUGAUUUACAGUACGCACAGUGUGUUUGACCUUAAUACAAACAUCUGGCCUCUGUGGAUAUUAUAUCAGGUGAGAAAGUUACCACACACACACACACACACACACAAGCACAUUUAGUUAAGCCCAUGCAUUAAAGAGUACAUUUAGAUAUGUGUAAUAGCAUUAAAGGAAUAUUCCAAAUUAUGUCAUCAUUAUGUCAUUCCAAACCCAUGUGACUUUCUUUUUUUCAUGGAACACAAUCAAGAAAAUAAUGUACUUAUCUGACUUUUCCGUGCAAUUACAGUGAACAGAGGCUUGCAAAAAAGAAUGCAAAAGCACCAUUAAAGUAUCAUUAAUGUAGGCAGUAUGACUCGUGUGCUCUAUUUCAAGUCCUCUGAAGUCAUACAAUAGCUUUUUGCGUGGAUCAAAAAUGUAUGUUAUUUUAUGAAAAUCUUUUUCCAGUGACCUGUUGAAGGAAUAGAUCAUACUAAAAGGAGAAUUGGAAGAACUAUCCAAGAUUAAAUGUGUUUCUUCAUUGGAACAGAUUUCGAGAUAUGUAGCAUUACAUCACUUGCUCACCAAUGGAUACUCUGCAGUGAAUGGGUACCGUCAGAAUAAAACUCCAAACAAUGGAUAAAAACA